UCCCACCGCCCCCAAUCCCAUCCGAUUCCAAUUGGAACGGUGUGCAUGCGCCGAGCUUAUGAUCGAGACAAUUAUAUACACACACAGCAGUUGAGCCGUUUGCCUGAACACUAAGUGUGUACUGCAUAUAUGCAAUUUGAAUCGGGCUCUCGUCAUGACAAUAGAAAAAUGUGUAUCCGAGCAUAUAUCUCGCUAAAAGAUGAAAUGAACUAAAUCGGUGGUGCACUUGGCAAAAUGCACAUGCAUUUGGCUGAUUAUCGCAUCGUCAUAAAGAUGCCAGCAGCUCGACUGGCAUAUUUUUGUCGAUCAAACUGCGCGCACGGAAAACGGAAAACUCAAACAAAUGGAAAUGAAAAUGGAUCUGAAGCUAAAGCUGGACUUGCAGAGACAAUUGCCGGGGCAAUUUGCAAUUUGACCGCAAAGCAAAAACGUGAAAAGCCACAGAAACUAACAAAGUGAAAUCUCCUGCAGCAGAGACACAAAGCGUACGAAAAUUGGGUUUGAUGAGGCAGUCCAAGUCGAAAUGUCAGCGAAAGUUUGACAAUCAAAUUUGAUGGGGGGCCAUUGACUUGGACAGCACAAAUAAAUUCUGAUAAUUGCCAUUGGCAAUGGUACGAUGCCUCUUCGAUGGGUUGCAGGAAUACAAUAAACAUUUAGCCACUCAACUUGACCUCAAAAUGCCAGACCAUAUUUUAGCACAUUGAAGAAUGCACAUCUAACCGAAAAUAGCGGCAAAAUGUUUUGCAUUCGAAUUGCAUUUGCGUUGCACAACCGCGUUUGCCGUGCAGGCAUUUUAUAAAUAAACACGUACGUAUAGAA